UUUGUGACUUACGUCUACAGGAUUGUGCCUAUUUAGAAUCUCCAGAUGGGGCUGGAGAGAUGGCUCAGCCGUUAAAGGCUAGGCUCACAACCAAAAAUAUA
rnacentral:miRNA from 1 species